rnacentral:rRNA from 1 species
AAUCAACGCUGGCGGCGUGCCUAACACAUGCAAGUCGAACGAGAAAGUGGUAGCAAUACCAUGAGUAAAGUGGCGCACGGGUGAGUAACACGUGACUAACCUACCCUGGAGUGGGGGAUAACUGAGGGAAACCUUAGCUAAUACCGCAUAAUACCCACUGGUCAAAGGAGCAAUUCGCUUUGGGAGGGGGUCGCGGCCGAUUAGUUAGUUGGCGGGGUAAUGGCCCACCAAGACUGUGAUCGGUAUCCGGCCUGAGAGGGCGCACGGACACACUGGAACUGAAACACGGUCCAGACUCCUACGGGAGGCAGCAGUGGGGAAUUUUGCGCAAUGGGGGAAACCCUGACGCAGCAACGCCGCGUGGAGGAUGAAGUCCCUCGGGACGUAAACUCCUUUCGAUCGGGACGAUAAUGACGGUACCGGAAGAAGAAGCCCCGGCUAACUUCGUGCCAGCAGCCGCGGUAAUACGAGGGGGGCGAGCGUUGUUCGGAAUUAUUGGGCGUAAAGGGUGCGUAGGCGGUUUGGUAAGUCUUAUGUGAAAUCUAUGGGCUCAACUCAUAGACUGCAUGAGAAACUGCCGGGCUUGAGUGUGGGAGAGGUGAGUGGAAUUUCCGGUGUAGCGGUGAAAUGCGUAGAUAUCGGAAGGAACACCUGUGGCGAAAGCGGCUCACUGGACCACAACUGACGCUGAUGCACGAAAGCUAGGGGAGCAAACAGGAUUAGAUACCCUGGUAGUCCUAGCCCUAAACGAUGACUGCUUGGUGUGACGGGUACCCAAUCCCGCCGUGCCGUAGCUAACGCGUUAAGCAGUCCGCCUGGGGAGUACGGUCGCAAGGCUG